CCUACGGGAGGCAGCAGUGGGGAAUAUUGGACAAUGGGCGAAAGCCUGAUCCAGCAAUGCCGCGUGAGUGAUGAAGGCCUUAGGGUUGUAAAGCUCUUUUACCCGAGAUGAUAAUGACAGUAUCGGGAGAAUAAGCUCCGGCUAACUCCGUGCCAGCAGCCGCGGGUAAUACGGAGGGAGCUAGCGUUGUUCGGAAUUACUGGGCGUAAAGCGCACGUAGGCGGCUUUUAAGUCAAGGGGUGAAAUCCCGGGGCUCAACCCCGGAACUGCCCUUGAAACUGGGAAGCUAGAAUCUUGGAGAGGCGAGUGGAAUUCCGAGUGUAGAGGUGAAAAUUCGUAGAUAUUCGGAAGAACACCAGUGGCGAAAGGCGACUCGCUGGACAAGUAUUGACGCUGAAGGUGCGAAAAGCGUGGGGAGCAAAACAGGAUUAGAUAACCCUGGUAGUCCACGCCGUAAACGAUGAUAAACUAGCUGUCCGGGUUCAUGGAACUUGGGUGGCGCAGCUAACGCAUUAAGUUAUCCGCCUGGGGAGUACGGUCGCAAGAUUAAAAACACAAAAGAAUAGACGANGAGAGNGCGAGACGACGACGAGGAGAG
rnacentral:rRNA from 1 species